AUGGUCCCCUGCCAGCCGCCAGCCGCAGCUCCAGCUCCUCUACACCGGGCACAGGACUCAGUCCUGUCCUCGGGGUCCCAGCACAGCAUCCCCAGCACCACGACCCCACCUCACCUGUGCAGGUCACCCCCACGUCCCACUCAUGGCCACAGAAAUGUCGGCCCCAGCCAAAGUGGAAGCAGUCAUAUAAGUUUGCCUCAGAACCGUUGCAGAAGAUUGGGUGCAGCCAGAUGCGUCCCUUGCCCUGCCCAAACGGGGCGUACGGGGACGCCCGGGCCACCGCGCCGCAGCCCAGCUGCCGGCACACCACGCCGGCGCCCCGGUGGUCCCAGUCGAAGUCGUAGCUGCAGACGGAGCCCCACUCGCCCUCGUGCUUCACCUCCACGCGGCCGGCGCAGCGCCCACCGCCAUCCACCAGCCGCAGCUCCCCGCUGCCUAUUCAUCCCCAGGGACCUUGCUGAGCACGGGGCCGCCUGCCCCACGGCUGCUCCCUGCCCCACCACUCACCCACAGCCAGCCCCUGCCCCACCGCUUGCCCCUGCCCCAAGGCCAGCCNNNNNNNNNNUUCGGCUGUUGGCGCCUACCCCAGUUCCCGCUUUGGCCAAGCAGAAGGUUCUAUCAGCUUGGGCUUUGUCGACUGCAAUGGGACUGAGAAGGCCCUCUGGGACUGCAAGAUUCAAGGCUGGGGACCAUACCACGGCCCUCAUGACUAUGAUACUGCUGUGGUGUGCCAAGGGUUCUCCCGUCUGGCCGGAGGGGACGGCGCCUGCUCGGGGCGGCUGGAGGUGCGUCAGGGCCGGGCCUGGGCCACCGUCUGCCACGGCCACGUGGACCUCAAGGCCGCCCAGGUGGUGUGCAGGGAGCUGGGCUGCGGCACGGCAGUGGCCGUCCCCNNNNNNNNNNAUGCUGGGGCCAUCUCUGCAGGGCCGGGCUCUGCCAAGGGGCUGUGUCUCCCAGGCUGUUGUGAAAGCAUUCAGCCGGGCUUCAGCCUGCAGGACCUUGCCGUGCCAGAAGCUGGGCAUCCAGCCCCAAAAACCCUGGUGGGAAGGUCAGCCCCAGAAGCAGAGUGGGAAGCGGCCACCCCAGCCUGAGGACCAGGCCCUGGGGACGUCCUCGGGGUGCCAGAGCAGCGCUGCUCUCCCCGCGAGCUCCUCCGGCUUCUCGCUUUCUGCCCUGGGCAGCUCCAGCUCAAGCCCCGAGCAGGACGAUAGGACAGGCUGUGGCGAGCAGGUGCAGGGCUGGGCCUGAGCAGCACUGUCAGGCCCUGCUCCACACAACAUCGGCCCUUUUGUAUCCUCUGGGUUUUUGUUUUGUUUUAUGUCUGUUUGUUUAUUUUCUCAGUUCUCUGCCCCAUCCCAUUUGGGCAGGGGAGGGGAGCCACUGAAGGGCUCUGUGGUACUCAGCUGCUGCUGGGUUAAACGACAGCAACCUGUGCCAACUCCAGCAGCUGUGCUGGAAAUUACCAAUCACAACCAUCAUCUGAGAAAAGGAAGAAGCAAAACCCAGAAAGAAACAGCUCACUA
rnacentral:lncRNA from 1 species